AUAAACCUCUGGCUGAGGUGGCCCGGCGCUGCAUUUGGGAAUGGAGUCCCCGUAGGUGAACUCUAGGUAUAGACUUAGUGCCAGGAUUUGAAUAAAAGCCUUUUUUGUUAAUAUUUAUUAAUGGCUAGACUGGUGAAUCUCUAAACGAACCCGGAGAUUUGGGUGUUCAGCCAAGUCCACCUUCUUUUUUUCUGGCUGGCCUUGGGACCCUGGAGGCUCCCGGACUGCUGGGAGCCACGGCAUCAGAUAGGUUCAGCAUUUGGAGGGUCCCCCCACCCCCACCAACCGGUUCUCAGCUCCUAGACUGUGAGGAAAGAGGCAUCAGAAAACCUCCAGAGGUCUAGCUGAAUCAGCAAACCCUCUAGAGGCUCCUGAGAAAUGACCCCCUCUGCUCAAAUCCCCUACACCUGGGCCUUUGACUAGCAUUUCAGCCUUCAUAGACCUUGACAACAACUUCCUGAUUUCAGCUGAGAAACAGUUUCAGAAGAGAGUACAUGGCCCCUUAUCCUCAGCAGAAGGUUGGAAUGUUAGGUCUAAAGGAAACUGGGACCCCACUAAAAGGGGCAUACCUUAUCAUUCUUAUGACCCUGCUGCCGCCAGGCCAGGUGUGUCGCAGGGACGAGGACCCACCUGCAGAUAAACCGCCUGUCACGAAGGCCUGAGGAAAUCCGCUGAAGAUAAGACUGACGUGGGCUGUCGACUAAAAAUGUUUUGUCUUUUAUGUUCCCUCCUGCUCUUUUAUGGGGUAUGUGUCUAGAUGCCCCUUGAAGAGCAGAUGCAAACUUGACAUGAACGUCUCACAUUUGGUGAUUAUGCCCCCGAAUUUUGUAUCGUAGUAUUCCUAUUUCCCCAGAUGUUUGUGUGUGACGGUGUGGCGUGGAGAGAGUAUUGUUUUUCCCAAGUCUUUCCAGCCCUCUGCAACAGAAAGAAAGGUAUGCUUCCUCUCCUACCCCCCACUGUAAGUUUAGGAUUGGCAGCAGCUGAAGCUGUUCGCCAGGAAACAGGCACGGUGAUGGAGGUCAAAUAACCCAGGGUUUAUUUGCAUUAGGAGAGUCUGUUGCACAAGUAGAACAGGUGGACUUGUCAGCUGAGGUCGUCUCACAGCGUGGUAGGGCACUGGGUCUGCUUUAUGCAGAACAAGGAGGUUACAGUAUGGCCUUAUGCAAACCACUCAGGGACUAUCAGGGAUAAAUUGGCCCAAUUUUGAAAACACAUCUCAUAGAAAGUGAAAAGGCCCUACUAGGAGGAGGUAAAUGGCUCCGGUUUUCUUUCUCAGGGUCUUCCUGGCCGAUAACUCUGCUGUCUUCCAGCCCUUAGCUCUCCUGUUCCCUCCUGCUGAUAGAGGUUGUCCCCAGCGCCAUUAAUGCCUUAUUCCCGCUGAGGAGCUAUUAGGCUGACGAUAAGUCCCAGUAUGAACAGGUACCUGCCACAAAGUCAGGGAUUUCACUCAAGGGGGGAAUAUGAUGAGUAAUGUCAUGUUGAUGGCUAGCUUUAUGUUUAAAAGUUUAAAAUUUCUGUGCUUAAGUGAACUGUACAAAGCAAAAUUAGAGCUCCAACUAUUAAGGGCUGUUAGGGGUUAAAUUUUUUACUGCUGUUUCUGCUUUUAUAAACAAAAGCUUGUUUUGCAGGAGAGGACCUUCUGCUUGCGGGAGAAAAUUGUAACUUGGUAUUCUUUGUCUUUAUAAACUCCUGCCUUAGUGGCUGGGCGCUGCCUUGGAGAAUACCGAGUCCCAGGUGGAGAUGGAGCGCUGGUUAUCUGAAUAAAGGUCUUCUUUGCUAAGUC